rnacentral:sRNA from 1 species
ACCGUGAAGUGCCUGGCAAUGGGUCCGGU